rnacentral:rRNA from 1 species
CCUACGGGAGGCAGCAGUGAGGAAUAUUGGUCAAUGGACGCAAGUCUGAACCAGCCAUGCCGCGUGCAGGAAGACGGCUCUAUGAGUUGUAAACUGCAUUUGUACGAGGGUAAACGCAGAUACGUGUAUCUGUCUGAAAGGAUCGUACGAAUAAGGAUAGGCUAACUCCGUGCCAGCAGCCGCGGGAAUACGGAGGAUUCAAGCGUUAUCGGGAUUCAUUGGGUUGAAAGGGUGCGUAGGGGGUCCGUUAAGUCAGCGGUAAAAUUGCGGGGCUCAACCCCGUCGAGCCGUUGAAACUGGCAGACUUGAGUGGGGGAGAGGUACGAGGAAUGCGCGGUGUAGCGGUGAAAUGCAUAGAUAUCGCGCAGAACUCCGAGGGCGAAGGCAGCGUACCGGCGCCAGACUGACGCUGAGGCACGAAAGCGUGGGGAUCGAACAGGAUUAGAUACCCGUGUAGUC